UCAGGUCUACACCAUUAUACAGCAGAUUUUGUGAUAUAAAAGGCGUGUAUGUCUAAAUUUCUUAUUUUGAGGCAACAGUUUGAUAUAUGUGUUUCUUUGUUUGACAUACCUUUCUGUAUCUAUACACCAAACAGGGUUACCAUGGAAACGUACAUCUACCUUUGGGCAAGGGUAUAAUAGAAGACAGGCGAACUGCAGUGAGAGAAAUCCUGCAGUCGAUCACGUGGUACGGCGUUCAGAUGUAUAAAUUUAUAGAGCAGAUUUUGGAGUAUAUCGGGUGUGUAUGAUCACUUUUUCUUUUUUGCGACAACACAUUGAUAUAUUUGUUUCUGUUUUUACACAUGCUUUUCUGUAUCUAUACACUCAACAGGGUUACCAUGGAAACGUACCUCUACCUCUCGGCCAGGGUAUAAUGGACGACAGGCAAAUUGCAGUGAGAGAAAUCCUGCUGUCGAUCACGUGGUACGGCGUUCAAAUGUACCGUUAUAGAGCAGAUUUUGGAGUAUAUCGGGUGUGUAUGUUUACUUUUCUUUUUUUGUGACAACACAUUGAUAUAUUUGUUUCUGUUUUACACUUGCUUUUCUGUAUCUAUACACUCAACAGGGUUACCAUGGAAACGUACCUCUACCUUUAGGCAAUGGUAUAAUGAAAGACAGACAAAGGCAAACUGCAGUGAGAGAAAUCCUGCUGUCGAUCACGUGGUACGGCGUACAAAUAUACAAAGUUAUACAGCAGAUUUUGGAUAUAUCGGGUGUGUAUGUUUUCUUUUUCUUUCGCAACACUUUGAUAUAUUUGUUUCUGUUUUUACACAUGCUUUUCUGUAUCUAUACACUCAACAGGGUUACCAUGGAAACUUACAUCUACCUCUAGGCAAUGGUAUAAUGAAAGACAGGCACACUGCAAUGAGAGAAAUCCUGCUGUCGAUCACGUGGUACGGCGUUCAAAUGUACACAGUUUUAGAGCAGAUUUGGAGUAUAUCGGGUAUGAAUGUUUAGUUUUCUUUUUUUGUGACAGCACUUUGAUAUAUUUGUUUCUGUUUCACACAUGCUUUUCUGUAUCUAUACACUCAACAGGGUUACCAUGGAAAGUUACAUCUACCUCUAGGCAAUGGUAUUAAUUGAAGACAGACGUCCAAGUCUACAAACAGCAGUGAGAGAAAUCCUGCAAUCGCGGAUCACGUGGUAAACGUUGAGCUUUAAACUUGCUAAGACCUGAAAAUGAAUUCAGGCAAAACUUGAAUUUAAACGAAAAUCUGGAUAAUUGGUGCGCUUAUUGAGAAUCUUCCUUGUAUGAUUUUGUUACGUAAUAUUUUGUGUUCGGCGUUUCCUGUUUUGUCAGGUUUGGGUGGCGUGGUAAUGUUUGUUGUGUUGUGUGUUUGCGGUGGUGUUUAUGGCGGUGUUUCUGGCGGUGUUUUAAUGUCUGUGAUGGCGUUUGUGGUGUCUUCAGUGUGAUCAUUUCGGUUGUAUUUCUCAUGGUUUGUGUUGUUUUGUCAAAAAGGGGUUUUUAAUGGUGCGAACUGUUUGUCGCUUUUGGUUCUUUGUCUUUCCUUCCGUUACAAGGUGUUUUUCUCUGUGGCACGAUCAAUAUAUUACUACUAGAUUAUUAGAAUAAGUCAAAUAUUGCGAUGUGUUUUAAUAAUUUUACUAGUCCUAUCAAUUUUAGAAAGCUGGAAAGACACACAAUGAAAUGUACAGACGACAGACACACGGUGGAGACGACAUCUGAGAAAACGCGCGAUAUGUUCUUUUUUAUAUGUGGUUUUUAUUUUGUAUUGCUGUUUUUUCUACUAGAAUGUUGGGGUACUUGGAGAAUAAAGACGCAGACGGAUAUGGAGAUGCAGACGAUAUGGAGAUGUAGAAGGAUAUGGAGAUGCAGACGAUAUAGAGAUGCAGACCAAACAAAAUGUGCAUUUCUCUUUAUGAUGAACACGUAUGUAUAUUACUACUUAUGUUAUCCAAUUUUGAAUGUAUUUCUCUGCAGAUUUUUCCAAAAUGGUGGAUGAUGUUGACUACAAGCACCUGUGGAGAUAUCACAAUGGUUAAAUGUGCGGAGCAGCUAUAGUGGCUGAUGUUGACUAAACAAGCACGUGCAAGGAUGUCAUGUAGAUUUCACAAUGGUUCAGUGAACAAUGCAAAGUGGUCCUUUUCGUCGGGCGCAAUGAGAAAGCAAAGGCCGAUAUUUCUCCUGGAGUAAUUCAAGAGCUGGGAAAUGCUCAUACAGUUUCUGGCUUUGGUGAAAGGAAAAAAACCCAUGUCGGACGAGAAACUCAAAACUAUUCGAUGAGAAAUUGAAUCUAUCCGACGAGGAACCCAAACUAUCCGUCAAGAAGCAGCUUCCUGGACAAUAAAUACACGAGGAAAAUUUUAGUUGAUGUAACUACAGUUGCCGUAGGACUUCUUAGCUGGUACCACAUAGAUGCUGAUAACCAGAGGUGUACUGGUACCCUAUCGAUGCCGAUCACCAGAGACGCGCUGGUACCCUAUCAAUGCCGGUCAUCAGAGGUGCGCUGGAUCCCUUGUGUCAAUGUUACAGUAAUCAACUGUUUUCAGCAAGAUUUAAAAAGGCAAGAAGGCAAUGUUUGACAUAGAGAAAGAAUCGAUUGCAGAAAACAAACAUCAUCAUGCCGUCCUGUGUUUGGUAUUUCCAACAGCUGACAGUCCGAUGCAUGUCAGAUUGCAUUCAAAUGAAUAAGUGACAAAUAUCUGCAGAAGGAAGAACCAAGUAUGAGGAAUCUACACCAGACCUUACACAAGCAUACAAGCAUGACACCACUACAGCCGCCCUGAUACAAGCAUUGUUAAACAAAUUAGACAUAUGCUGAACUGUAUAUAAUUAUGUCCCCACGUACAAAGUAUAUGGGGCUAUACUGGAGUCACGCAUGUCCGCCGGUCUGUUCGUCCGUCCGUCCAUUGUGUCUGCUGGGAAGAUUUUCAUGAAACCUGCAUGACUAAUUAAUCUCAUCAAGACGCUGUUCAGAGUGCACAACCCAGGUUAUUAUACCCAUAGUCAAGGUUACUUUUCAAAGGUCAAAGGUCAAAUAGUUUAACUUCAUGCCCGCUCCAUAUUUUUAAACGGCUUUGAAAUUAUUUUGCUCGACUAUCGGCAGAAUAUUAAGUUAACAUUUUAUGGCAAGCUUCUGAGUGUCACUAGAUCUUCUUAACUACUGCCCCCAUUGAUGCCAAACUUCACAUAAUUUGGUACUGGUAAGGGGCGGACAUCUUUUAGUUUAGGGUCAAGCAUGCUAAAGGUCAAGGUCACUGGGGUCAAAUAUUGUAAUAGUGCUGGUUAAAGUUUUAUGAGUUAUUUUAUUUAUUUUAUUUUAUGACAGAUAUUUUCUUAAAGACCAAACCUCGCAUAAUGAUUGAUCUUAAAAAGGGACAGAAAGCUUUUGGUUUCAUGAGAGUCAGGUAGCUGAAAGGUCAAGGUCACCGGGGAAAGAUUUUGUAGCAAUGUUAAAGUUUUAUGGCACAUUUCUCAGUUUGACUUAUAACUAAUAAUGAUUUUUCAGCAUUGGUAGCCCUUGUACCUACACUUUAAGCUUUAUCUACAUUUCCUCUACCCACAACCCCACACUUACACAUACAUUCCUUACACAAUUUAUAGAUUAUUUUGUAUAUCUUGUACAUAUAUCUCGUAUGUUUAUACGAUGUUUAAGUAUCCCUUAUUCACUCACUUUUACCCCCACCACUUCCAAAAUGUUUUAAAUAUUUUUUUACAUCUCUCAAACAUCGCAUCUCACCCGCAUCUCCUCAUCUACAGCUCCCCACGCCUAUCCCCUGCCCCACUUUCUUUUGUUUUUAGCUCGACUUUUCGAAGAACAAGUAGAGCUAUCCUACACACCACGGCGACGGCGUCACACCUUGGUUAAGUUUUUCGUACCAGUUCACAUUUUGACAAAACCUUUUGAGGUAAAGCUUUCAAACUCUUAUCACUUGUGUACCAUCACCAUGCCCAGUUUAGGCAAGAGUGUAUAACUCCAUCAAAGAUUUUGGCUGAAUUAUGGCCCCUUUUAACUUAAAAUCUUGGUUAAGUUUUUCGUACCAGUUCUUAUCUGUGUAUACUUUUUUACAUACGGCUUUGAAACUUUGAACACUUGUUUAUAAUUCUGAGCUCAUUCUGUAGGCAAGAGUACAUAACUCUGUCAGCUAUUUUGGUUCAAUUACGACCUUUUUAGCUCGACUUUUCUAAGAAAAAAUAGAGCUAUUGCACUCGCCCCGGUGUCGGCAUCGGCGUCGGUGGUUAAAGUUUUUGAUAAAG
rnacentral:lncRNA from 1 species